GGUUUGAAGCCGAAGGAAGUUUGAGGCAAUAACAGGUCUGUGAUGCCCUUAGACGUUCUGGGCCGCACGCGCGCUACACUGACGGAGCCAGCGAGUCUAACCUUGGCCGAGAGGUCUUGGGUAAUCUUGUGAAACUCCGUCGUGCUGGGGAUAGAGCCUUGUAAUUGUUGCUCUUGAACGAGGAAUUCCUAGUAAGCGCAAGUCAUCAGCUUGCGUUGAUUACGUCCCUG
rnacentral:rRNA from 1 species